rnacentral:rRNA from 1 species
UGGGGAAUAUUGGACAAUGGGCGAAAGCCUGAUCCAGCCAUGCCGCGUGUGUGAAGAAGGUCUUCGGAUUGUAAAGCACUUUAAGCUGGGAGGAAGGGCAGUAAGCGAAUACCUUGCUGUUUUGACGUUACCGACAGAAUAAGCACCGGCUAACUCUGUGCCAGCAGCCGCGGUAAUACAGAGGGUGCAAGCGUUAAUCGGAAUUACUGGGCGUAAAGCGCGCGUAGGUGGUUCGUUAAGUUGAAUGUGAAAGCCCCGGGCUCAACCUGGGAACUGCAUCCAAAACUGGCGGGCUAGAGUAGGGCAGAGGGUGGUGGAAUUUCCUGUGUAGCGGUGAAAUGCGUAGAUAUAGGAAGGAACACCAGUGGCGAAGGCGACCACCUGGGCUCAUACUGACACUGAGGUGCGAAAGCGUGGGGAGCAAACAGG